rnacentral:rRNA from 1 species
GCAGGCAGUAUUAUCACCCUGCAGCUCCCAGCUGGCAGCCCACUGGAGCUCAGCAGGUGUGAGUCUGGACAGUAUCUAGAUGGGAGACCUCCUGGGAAAGCUGAGGCUGCUGCU